GGUAAGAAUAGUAUCAUAUAUCUUUUUCAGGCUUUGAAGAAUAUCUUAUGCAAGGUUCAUAUUUCAGUUUAGUACGGAUUAUCCUUAUGUAAACAUAACUCUUGAUUAGAAAGUUCUUCCUCUUAAUCUUCCUAAAUUAGCCUCGAUUCAAUUUACAAAUCGUUGUUUUGUAGAGUUUAGGAGAGAACAAAUGUGAGAAAAAAAGAGUUUGAGAUAGUUUAAGAGAGUAUGAGAAUGUAAUGGAGUGAAAUAAAGGAGAAGAAGGGUUUUUAAAUAUCAUAAGAAAGGGUUCCAAUGGUCAAUUUGACCAUUGGAGCACUGUAUCACUGUUACCGAGCAGUUUUAAAUAUUUCUUCCUCUUACUGUAGCAUUGUAGCACUCUAGCAUGUUCUGUCCGGUAGCGGGUGGUCCGCAAACCGGUAUGUCGUCGGACCGGUACGUAUCGCCCGUACCGGUUGGUAUCAUUCUAAAUUGGUUGGAUUAAGAUUGACAAUCCUUAGAACAUGAUGAGGUAAACUACUCCACUCUAUUUGACUUUGUGAACUAAAACUUGAUGGUUAAUUUUUUUUUUAACUUUUUAUUGGCAGCUGUAAUGACAUAUAUGAAUCUCCAAUUGAAUUGUGAGAGACACGAUGGCUAUGCAGGUCCAUCUUCUCAAAGGAUUUGGACUGCCAUUUAAAUGAACAAGUCUCCACAUUGUUAGUUAUAGAUGUUCUUCUGUUUCUUCUUUGCAUUUUGUUCUAUAAUAUUUUGUGUCAAACAUUGAAAUAAUUAUAGAUGAUGUGUUCCAUAUUACUUAAUAGAAAUUCUUUUGCUUUUUGGCUUUCCACGUGUUUAAAAGUGUUCUUUCUUAGUUUAGAGGAUUCCACAAUAAGUUUAUGAAGAAACUAAUGUUAAUUAAAUUAUUUUUUCAUGCAUAUUAUGUGAAUGGAUAUGGUUUCUUAUCAAAUCAAUUUACAACCUGAUUUGGCAAUUUUGUACUUGAAUAGUUGGGUCUGUCUUCAAUAUUUGAUGAAAUUGUUAAAACUGAAGUAACCAGGCACAUGCAACCUACUGAUUACUUGAGCUUGUUUGGGGAAGAAUUCAAAUGAACUGAAGAUUAUUGGGAUGCUUCUUAUUUGAAUGUCUUGGAUAUAUCUGCAGCGGAAGAAGGCAGUCCUCAUGUCUUAUUUGGAUGUGCUUCACAAGCAAAAGCAGCAUGUGUAUUGAUUGAUUUAUGCUUUGGACCAUUAUCACCAUGGAUAUAUACAAUUACUGCAAAGUGUACUCCUUUUUGUUUUGGGGCCACAUAUGCCAUUUCCUUCAGAUAUUGACCUUUGCAAAUGUUCAUUUCCUAAGGUGGCUGAUCAAGAGUCUUUAGCUGUUUCUUCUAACUUUGUGAUAUGUUCUCAUGGGGCUUCUAGCACAUCCAGUAAUCCGGAUGAAGCAAAGAGAAAGAUUGAUGCAUCUAAAGCUGCCACAAGAAAAGAUGUACUCCAAGAUGCUAAUCUGUAGUUUGCUCCUAGAGAUCUGUCAAAAAUUGUUCUGACAAGUGUUUCAAAUUAUUUUACUGGGGACUGGAUCAGAUUGAAUUUCAGUUGUGGUGUUUCAGAGGUGAAUAAGAUUUCAAAUAACAACUUUCAGAAUAUUGGUUUCUUUGCUGAUUACUUGUAUUCACAAGCAGAUUAUCUACAACUUGUAAACUAUCAAGAUUCGGUAUAUAGGGCUUCCCAAUUUGAACAUUUGGCAGCUGAUUUGUGUUCCCAGCAUGACAACCCCAGAAAGCCAUGAAGCUGCAAUAGAAUCCAUACUCUUGGCUGCAGAAUGUUAUGCCAACUCAUUCUUUAUAAUCGAUUUCAUAUGGAUGCAAUUCAGAGCUUAUGAAUCAGAUGAAAAUCAUUGGAUCCAAAUUCAUGAAUAAAAAUGGAUUAGUGGUGUUUUAUGAAGACCUUAAGAGAUGUAAUGUCAAUCUGGAGACAAUAGCUUAUCUUGAAAGUAAAAGAGAUAUAACUGUUCUACAAAUUCUGCUUCCGCUAAACUGGACCUCGAAUCUGAGAGAAUUUUGGCUCUUUGGAAACCUUGUACAUAUUAUUUUGAAGAUAAUCAGUAGGCUUUAGAAAUAUCACAAGUCGACAUUGAAUCUGAUGUGGCAACUUUGAUUAGGCAGAAUCAACCAUUGCUUUGCCACUUUGUAAUCCUCCUACAGAGUCUCCCCUCUUUCUACUGCAUUCUGCAACUGAGUUAUCCUGUUCUGUAGAGAAUGUUAAUGACAUUAUACUGCAGUCAGCUGCAAAUCUUAGUGGACAACUUACAAUUUUGUACACCCAACUGAAAGCAGGCAACAUACAACUUGAAAUGGUAAAGUUACAUGGGCUGCCAAGGUGCUGGGCACUUCUUGAAGGAUUAAUCUGGAAAUGAUGAACGGACAUAUCCCAUUGGUAUCAAAAGUGCUGGUUUCAUCUACAGAACUUUAGUUCCACAUUUAUCAUGGAUGCAGAAAAUAUCUAGAUUUUCAA